GACGAACGCUGGCGGCGUGCUUAACACAUGCAAGUCGAACGGAAAGGCCCUGCUUUUGUGGGGUGCUCGAGUGGCGAACGGGUGAGUAACACGUGAGUAACCUGCCCUUGACUUUGGGAUAACUUCAGGAAACUGGGGCUAAUACCGGAUAGGAGCUCCUGCUGCAUGGUGGGGGUUGGAAAGUUUCGGCGGUUGGGGAUGGAUUCGCGGCUUAUCAGCUUGUUGGUGGGGUAGUGGCUUACCAAGGCUUUGACGGGUAGCCGGCCUGAGAGGGUGACCGGCCACAUUGGGACUGAGAUACGGCCCAGACUCCUACGGGAGGCAGUAGUGGGGAAUAUUGCACAAUGGGCGGAAGCCUAAUGCAGCAACGCCGCGUGCGGGAUGACGGCCUUCGGGUUGUAAACCGCUUUCGCCUGUGACGAAGCGUGAGUGACGGUAAUGGGUAAAGAAGCACCGGCUAACUACGUG
rnacentral:rRNA from 1 species